GUGCCGCCAAGGCGGUCUCUUCGGCCCCCUGCAUCAGGCCCCUCAUUCCGCUUGGAGGACUUUUUUCGCCCAGCGAGGUGCGGCGAUGAGGCCACCUCCAGUAUUAAGACUGGAGACGUUUGUAGGAUGAUUCGGUCCAGCCCUGAGGCUCCGGGAGAAAGGGCGAGGACACCGGGAGGUGCUAAGCGGUGGCUGGGUAUGUCGAGUAUUAACUUUUUGGAGUCAAAGCCUUCCUCAAUCAAACUGAAGAACCCGAAGCCCUGUGAUUAAUCCAAACCCGCAGAGACAUAGGUGACUGUCUGCUUCCUGGCAUUGUGGUAGCACCUGAGGUUCACUAAUCACAGUUCUUGAGAACCACCUCUAUUUACCCAAGCACAGACUUGGUGGAGGCAGCUGGUCAAGUCUGCAGUGCUGAGACAGGCCAGGGCUCCAGAUGGAGGUUUCCAAAUCGAGAUUAAGAAAAUUCUCAUGCAUUUCUACACCCUCACAGAAACAACUCCCUGUUCCUUAUAGCCAUCAUGGGGCCACCUGCUGAUGAUCAAAGAAGUUGGAUGAUUUCUGGAAAUUAUCAGUGAUCCAUGAGACAAACCCUCCCUUUUGUUAUAAAAGCAACUCGCCCCUUCUACUCUAGGAGCUGGAAGUUUUGUUUUGCUUUGUUUUCUUGCUGUUGUAGUUUUCCGCCCUCUCCUUUGUGCACAUGCUACCUCUUUGAAUAAAAACCUCUGCUUGCCUAAGGG